rnacentral:rRNA from 1 species
AUGAACGCUGGCGGCAGGCCUAAAACAUGCAAGUCGAACGCUGUAGCAAUACAGAGUGGCGCACGGGUGAGUAACAUGUGGGAAUAUGCCUUUUGGUACGGAAUAGCUUCGGGAAACUGGAAUUAAUACCGUAUGGUCCCUUCGGGGUAAAGAUUUCUCGCCAAAAGAGUAGCCCGCACUGGAUUAGCUAGUUGGUAAGGUAACGGCUUACCAAGGCGACGAUCCAUAGCUGGUCUGAGAGGACGAUCAGCCACACUGGGACUGAGACACGGCCCAGACUCCUACGGGAGGCAGCAGUUAGGAAUAUUGGACAAUGGGCGCAAGCCUGAUCCAGCCAUGCCGCGUGAGUGAUGAAGGCCUUCGGGUUGUAAAGCUCUUUAGCCGACGAAUAUAAUGACUGUAGUCGGAGAAUAAGCCCCGGCUAACUUCGU